CAGAGGAGGAGAGCGGAGCGGAGAAAUCCUCCCUGUAAUCCGGUUAUUUCUGUCAAUCAGUGAGUCACAGGAUUCACUGCGAGCACAAAUCAAAUCAGACAUCAGAAAUUUCGACAGAGACGCAUCCGGCUGCUUAUGUCUCAUGUGGAGGUUCAGGGGUCAGGGGUCGACUUCGACUGCAGGUAUACAUGAUCAUGUGAACAUCAACAGUGCAGGGACUUCAUUGUGUCUCAUUGUGGCUUUAAACAACCAAAGCAGGCUGACUAGAACAGGUUUGAUUGAGGGUUAAAGGAGCGACAUUGCUUUUCACCAAACAAACAAAACCACGUGGCGAACACGGCGUGGUUAAAGGGGCGGCUAUUUUGUGGCGUUUUCUCUGAACAAACAGACAAAGAAGGCGAUGAAGAAGAAGAAGAAAACGGCUCAUCUGUUUGUUAGAGGAGAAACUUCUUCCCCACAUGAAUUAUGGAGCAACAUCACUUUUAUGAACUCUUCCCACCCAGCAAACCAUACGUCUAGACAACGCCGAGAUUCACACCGUCUAAAUUAAGGUGACCAGACAGUCCUCGUAUUGGAUGACCUGUCCCCGGCUAAAGUUGUCCCCUGGAAAUGUCACCGAUAAACGUUUCAUGAAUGACUAGAACAACGGUUACUACGGUAGCCGAUUAGGUAGGAAACACGAGGAAGCAUGUUGAGUGCAGUCCUGAACAACAGUUUUUACAGGGAGUUAUUACAGGGGCGUACGCUGCUACUAAGUAGUACUGAGAUGUUGUCUGUGAUCACGCUGCCAAUGCUGUGGAUUUCAUGACAGAAAUCUGGUCAUCCUAGUCUAAAUGAGGCCCAGUUUUCAACGUCCUUUUUUGGGCUAAAUUAUGUCCACGAUGGGACAACAUGAUUUAGCCUGAAAAAGACGUCUAGAUGAAAUCAGGUGUUUGUUCGGUUGUGGUUUCUGCUUUUGCUUUGACGUUCAUGUAACCCUCACUUCAAACUUGACCAGCUGGUAUGAAGUAUUUCAUGGCUCUCAGGCUGACAGUACCAAAAAACUGAUUUUCAAGGGUGAUUUUGAGCCCAGGCAGAGAUUUCUAGGGGUGUCCUGAUACAACUUCUUGACAUCUAAUAGGAUACUGAUAUUGCAUCCCUCAAUACUGACCGGUCCGAUAUUGGCACAAACUUGUUCAUGACAAGUUUGGCACUCAGCUGCAACGUCUUUUUCGGACUUUAACAAAAAUACUGCCACACAGCCGACAUCACUCCUACUCCCUGCUGUUUUGUUCGUACUUUAGUACACACUGUUGUUGUGAUUUCAUGGGCUCAGCUUGCUGGAUCAGGGUGGUGCUGGAGCAGAGUCUGGAAUGGACUGCUUGUACCAGAGUCUCUCUGGUCUCUCUCUUCCAUCGUCGCUUCCAGUCAUCCCGAUUCUCCACACAUCUCUCCAGUUCAUUUGUACUCUGAGCUCCUGCAUCCUUCUUGAGUAUGUCCACGUAUGUUAGUGUAGGACGUCCUCUUGACAGAUGCCCAUAUGUUGGUUCCCACAGCACCAAUUUGCUGGCUGACAGUUCCCGAUGCCUUCGCCAGUGUCCUGCUAGUUUCAUUCUCCUUACAGCAAUCUUCUCGCUCACCCUUGGUAUUCCCUCGUACAGUGUUCUGUUGGUUACAUGUGCGUUCUUGCUGAUGUUAAGCACUGCACGCAACAUCCUGGUGUAGCACGGUCCAGCAUUCACUGCCAUAGAGGAGAACGGACUCUACUGUUGCGUGAAAGACGCUGAGUUUGAUUUGGCGGGGGAGGUUGGAGUUCCAUACACCGGUCAUGCCGUUCAGGGCUCUCCAUGCAAGUGCCUUCCUUACUUUUAGAUCUUGUUCAGUUGAGUUGACCCAUGAGCCCAGGUAUUUGAAGUCCUCGCCUUCUUUCAGCACAGCGCCUCCUGCUGUAGUCAGAGGUUGAUGUUCUGGUGGAACGUUGUAGGUGAUGACCUUAGUUUUCUUGGCAUUGGAAUGCAUAUAUCGGAGAUUAUAGAUGCAGGCUGAUAAAAUCCGAUAUUCGUUUCUUUUAUAUAUAUAUUUUUUGCCGAUAUCAGAUCGAUAUCCGAUAUCAAUAUCAUAUUGGGACACCCCUCGAGAUUUCCACUCCAGAGUCAUGUCUGUUUUUAGCGUAGUCCUAACCCUAACCCAUAAAAAACCUUAUUCUGAAAAUGUUGACCCAGUCUCUUACAGAGCAGUAAACUUAUUCAGUUGGUAUUUAACAGCUAAAACCCUUUUUAUUCAGCACUGUUUGAAAAAGAUAAAUAUCCCAGGCUGAGGGCCCUGGGUGCCAGAAAAGAUAAAACACAGUCUGGGACACCAGUGAGAGUAAUACAACCCUGAGUUUAAAGAGAAGAGACAAUGCUUUGUCAUAAAAGACCGGCAGACACAGCCCAGAGUCAAAGUCACAACCAGUCAGCUCUAAUCAGCCACACUCCUUCUGCCGGUUCAUCCUGAAGACAUAAUGAGGACCGCCGAGGAGGACGUGGUCUCUACACAGACUCUGGAAACGGCACAGCGAGGGGGGACCGAGGGAAGUUUGAGUUUGGACUGAAAGCUCGGAGACUCAAGGAUGAGUCACAGAACCAGUACAACAAAGUGCUGCUGCUUGACUACUCAACACUUACAAGAGAAGGUAACACACUAACACUGGUUUAUUGUCUGAUUUAUUGUGCGCCCAAUAUGUUGUUUCUAAGCCAGAGCUCAGCCAUCCACCCUUCAUACUGUCUAAUGUCACAGUGCUGUAAAACUCUACUACCAGGAUCCAAAGAAGCACAGCACAAGAUGGAGAUAAAGUAAGUAAACGUAUAACCACUCAUCCAGAGCAAAGGUAGGCAUGAGGGACCAAGGUUAGUGAUUCUAGACCUGCUAAUGGUUUUCCUGCAAACCCUGUAAUCUUGUGUUAAACAGCGUAAAAACAGACAGAAGUGAUAGACGAGGUACUGAUGUUAAAGAGGGCCGUCAAAGAGGCUGAGGCAAGUAACGGGCACGGCAGUUCUCUUAGAUGUACCGAAUCUCUAGAAUUGGUUCACUGAUAAGAUUCGAUCAAAAGAUUCGUUCAGGAGGAGCCUGAGACUCCAACUUCCUGGAUUGAUUCACAGCUGAACGGUUCAGGUUUCAGUUCAGUUCUCGGCUUCUGGGCCCGGGAGACGAGAGUGUUGUGGCUGCACAUGCGGUCCCGCCCUCGCCCUGCAAUGCUGCGUUCUAUGGCAGCUGCUUACUGACAGUUCAAAUAAACUGAGAAAUGAACGAAUCACUUGAGGAAGUGAUUCGGUUCAGUAUGUUCACUUAGAAGAUUCGUUCUUUUGAAAGAAUCAUUCGCGAACGACACAACACAAGUUGAGGCCCUGAUAUUCUUUGGAACUGCCCUUUAAAUGAUGCCGUUUUAAUUGUAUGGUGUUUUUGCAGUUCAUUGCAUGCAUUUUUUCAUUUGGCACCUGUUUUGCAGCAUUUACCUCAUGAUUCAGUCUCUUUAAAUCAGUCUUUUGCAGGAUGUAACCUGAAGAUAGUUGGUUUAACAUAAAAGCAGCAAAAGUGAGUGCCACUGAAGGAUCUGUGGUAGUGUCUCGGGGUGAGAGGACGACAAAUCAAAAGCACAAAUAACAUCUUUAAAUGAGGGUAAAUGUUGUAUCUGUAAAAUAAAAACGGUGACUCUGUGUUGUCCCUCUCAUUACCCUGCAGGGCAGAGUCAACCCUGGAAUACACAACUAAAUGAGGACAGGAUUGAACCUGCCUCACUAAAACAUACCGCAAUCUUCGACUAACAAACCAGAGAAAAGACAGCGACUUAAUAUUCUCUUUGAGGAAUAAUGGGGAAUAAUCCGCCAUGGUUGUGAGUUUCUUUGAUAAUGCCAGGCGGCCUCUGGAGUGUGCUGUGAAGUGCAGCCAAAUCGUCUCUGGGAGCAGUGUGUGCAGAGGUCCCCACCCCCGGUAUCAUUAGUUAAAGUGAGGAACACAAACACUAUUGGACGUCUGAUUCUGUUCAAAGUCUGAUUUGACUUUCUUGAUGAGACGUGGUGGAGCCGCAUUUUCUGUUCGUACUCCGCAGAGAGGAGCAGGCAGCAUGAAGCGAGUCGAUAUCUGGCAGUUUCUCCCCUUAAUAACUAGGAAGUAAAGAGUUCACUACAAAAUGUAGAGCGUUGUACUUUGGCCAUGUCUGACCAGAAGCAGGCCAGGGGAUGAAUAAUAGAUGUAGCUGAAGAUUUCAACCCGAGGAAAUUUUGUUUUUCCUCUAACUGCAGGAAAGAGACAGAGAGGUGCAGAUGAACUCGAGCUGGGAGAGAAAUACAACAUUUACAUUCAGGAACAGGUAAAACACGAGCGUGCAGAUCAUAUAUUCAUGCAGGGAGAGGUUUCUGGUUUCAUCAACAUUCACUCUAACUAAAUGAUGUCUUCAUGUCAUCUGUACGCAUUUGCACGAGCUGAAAUAAUGAUCUGACUUUGACUGAAUAAAUAAAAGAUCAACAAAGAUCUAAAGAAAUCCUCCAACAUUUGCCAGAACUCGGUUUUUCAGUUUGAGCUGAGGUGGACUGUACAGGGCGGUGAUGUCCAGAAAUUCAAUGUUUGAAACAUGAAAGAUUAAAUACUCUUCAACUCAUAUUAGUGAGUUGAAGUUGAAUUAAUAAGUUUAUCUUCCUCCAAGUUGGUGAUAUUUCCUGGAAACAAGUGUGUAUAUAUGUUUGUUUUUCCUGCAGGUGUACCUGGUUGGCCUUCACAUUUAUUUUUCCUGCAGCUCAGAUAUUUUCCUUGUUUGGGGAGUGGGAUCUGGUUCUCAUGUUUUAAGUCAUUGUUUCCCCCAAAUUGAGUCUCUUUUUCUUGGUUAGGUGGAGCCACA
rnacentral:lncRNA from 1 species